rnacentral:misc_RNA from 1 species
UCUUGGGGUAGAAGGCAUGUGCUGGGAUGGCAUGCCAAGGCAUGUGCUGGGAUGGCAUGCCAAGGACAAGCAUGUGCUGGGAAGGCAUGCCAAGGCCAAGACAAGGCCAAGGCAAGCACAUGCAUCGUGAGCGAGAUGAGACGGUUACGUUUACCCCAAGAGUGCCCAGCGAGAUGGUGUCAAACGCAUGCUGAGCCCCACUUCGGUAGUUUGGCACGACAACAUAGGCAUUCAGGCAAGCGUGUCUAUGGUUAACGUCUGUUCGGCUUGCCAGCCAUGUUGGGUAUUAUUCUACGGAUGAGAUGAUGGCACAAGGAUGAUUGCUGGUAACGUUUUGGCACCAGACCGCAUUGCUAGUUCAAGCUUCAGCGGGUGGAAAUAUGCCUAUAGGGGCGUUGCUUGCUUGUUGUGGAGUUGGGACACGCCCAAUAUCUAUCAUCGACCUAGGUAAUUCCUGCAUGGCCCCAUAGGCAUAUUCACGCAAGCGUGCCUAUGGGUAAAGUCGCUUGAGCUUGCCAACACCCAUGUUAGCUGUGGUCUGGACCGAUGAUGGCACAAGGAUGCUUGCUUUAAGGUAACAUUCCGGCAGCACAGCCAGCCCGCAAUUGCUAGUUCAAGCGGGUGGAAUCUGCCUGUAGGGGUGUUGCUUGCUUGCUGUGGAUUUGGGACACGCCCAAUAUCUAUCAUCGACCCAACGAACUGCUCAACAUGGGUUGCUGAGGGCUAUUUUGGCACUGACGGUUCACUUGUUUGCUUGGCUCUGAUAAACGUUUAGAUGUCAUGAUGCUUGGGAUCCAAUAAAUUUAUGUGGGAAGCUGAGAGCUGGAACCCAAUGUCAUUCACCAGAUGGCUUAGCUUCGUCAGUGUGUAUAAUAUGUCAUUGAACCCCAAUCCUCGAUGCCAACCUGAUUAUGACUUUUGGAUUGCAAUUAUCAUGGCUAUCAAAAACUGAGUAGGAGUCAUGGAAUAAGUGAACAAUUUGUAGCUUUUAUAGCUGUCAGCUUUCGCAUCGCCCGGUGUGUUUUGGGAAUCGCUUUGUGCGUUUGGUUGCCUGCCGUGCCUCUUGGCAUACGGUGGGUGCCACUUGCCGGGUGGUUUUCGGAAACAUCCACCGUAAAGGUGCAUGAGUGGUGUUUGGUUUGUUACGGGUGGUUGGCUCUUUGCUUGCGCAACAACUUCCACCCGACUUACCUCUUCAGAUGUUUGCCUAGGCUUGUAUAGCCUAAGCAGAUUGUGGGUUUCCUGUGUUGCCUACCUACGUCACGGAAUUGUCCCGAUUGAUCAAAGUUGCUUUCGUCUUGUGCCGUCUUGAUGGCAUAAGAUGAACCAUGAAGCUGUCUCUUUGCACCGCAUUGUUAAUGCAUGCGUUGAUGUUGUGGCCCAUUGAGCAUUGCUUGGUACCUUGGAUACAGAACCUUAUGUGGGCAUGGGUCCUUGGGGAUCCUUGUUCUGCCCUCGUUUAGCGUUCGCGCUUCUCUUAGAAUGACUGCCUAGCCGGAAUGGCAACCCAUUGCGGAUGGGCAUCGUC